GGAUUCUGCACGGAAAGAAGGGUACACAGCUGGAGAUUGUUUAGAGACAAUUAAGACUUAUUGGCUUUUCAGCUGGUGAUAAAGGCAGAGAGCUCGGAGACUCUUGGCAUCUUGAAAUUGUUACCCAGUUACACUUUAAGUUGGCAACUGACUUGAUCCGCUGGUUAGCCAAAGCCCAAGGGGCCGCAACACCCAGAACUUCAAAGGGCUCCUAGCAAUUGGUUCUUGAGUCGGAAAGAAGACUGUGGCAUGCAGAUACCAAGUAAAAUUAACUUUGUUAGCAGUAUUUGACCUUUCUGUAAAAUACUCAGUUUUAUCAGAUACUUUCCUUCGCGAUGAUUGUUUGGAAAAAAAUUAACAUUCAUCAUCUUAUAUUGUUUGUGUUAACUGGAAAGAAAUUAUUUUAGCAACGGACCCACAUUGGUCUUUCACAUAUUCAGCAAAUGCUGCUCCCUGGGGC
rnacentral:lncRNA from 1 species